GGGUACGACCAUACUUGGCUGAAAACACCAUAUCCCGUCCGAUUUGUGAAGUUAGCAGCCACAGGCUUAGUUAGUACUGAGGUCAGUGAUGACUUGGGAACCCUAAGUGCCGUACUCCCACACUCUUUUUUGGCCCGCCACCGUCUUUUUCCUAGGCCGGGAGACCACCCGGUCCAAACGGUGACCUCAAAACUUCCGGUCGGGACGGCGCGUUCACCAGUAGAAAGACUUUUAACUAACGCUAUUAUUGUUACAGUUUCUGUACUUUAUUGGUAUGGGAAGCUUCCAGAACAUCUAGUUCUGGCAAAUUUUGAACGGAAGCCCUCGGGCUUCACUUUUUUUUAUUUUUUUUUACCACGGCCCCUGGGCCCCCCGGAGGGGGGGGGUGGGGGGUCUGGUGGGACCCCCGCCGCCCGGCCCAUAUUGGAGGGAGGGGGCACCCCGAACCACAGAGUGCCCCACGGCGCGAAGGGGGAGGGGGGAGGGGGGGCCCGUUGCGCGGGGGAUGGGGACGGAAAGCCCGCAGGGCUUUCCGCGAUUUUCCCUUUCUUUUUUUUUUUUUUUUUUUUUUUUUUUUUUUUAAAGGCACCCACCCAGGGACCCGAGGCCCAACCCGACCGCCACACACACACACUACU
rnacentral:misc_RNA from 1 species